rnacentral:rRNA from 1 species
CGUGUCUCUAGUGCCAGCAGCCGGGGUAAUACGGAGGGUGCAAGCGUUAAUCGGAAUUACUGGGCGUAAAGCGCACGCAGGCGGUCUGUUAAGUCAGAUGUGAAAUCCCCGGGCUUAACCUGGGAACUGCAUUUGAAACUGGCAGGCUUGAGUCUUGUAGAGGGGGGUAGAAUUCCAGGUGUAGCGGUGAAAUGCGUAGAGAUCUGGAGGAAUACCGGUGGCGAAGGCGGCCCCCUGGACAAAGACUGACGCUCAGGUGCGAAAGCGUGGGGAGCAAACAGGAUUAGAUACCCUGGUAGUCCACGCCGUAAACGAUGUCGACUUGGAGGUUGUUCCCUUGAGGAGUGGCUUCCGGAGCUAACGCGUUAAGUCGACCGCCUGGGGAGUACGGCCGCAAGGUUAAAACUCAAAGGAAUUGACGGG